UCACAUGUAACAUACACUGGCACAAUACA
rnacentral:piRNA from 1 species